GAGUUUGAUCCUGGCUCAGAACGUACGCUGGCGGCACGCCUAACACAUGCAAGUCGAACGAAGUAGCAAUACUUAGUGGCAGACGGGUGAGUAACAUGUGGGUAUCUGCCCUUUGGCCUGGAAUAACACGAGGAAACUUGUGCUAAUACCGGAUAAGUCUUUACAGAGAAAGCUUUAUGCACCAUUGGAUGAGCCCGCACUUGAUUAGUUUGUUGGUAGGGUAAUGGCCUACCAAGACUAUGAUCAAUAGCUGAUUUGAGAGGAUGAUCAGCCACAUUGGGACUGAGACACGGCCCAAACUCCUACGGGAGGCAGCAGUGGGGAAUCUUGCACAAUGGAGGAAACUCUGAUGCAGCGAUGCCGCGUGAGUGAAGAAGGCCUUUGGGUUGUAAAGCUCUUUCGUCGGGGAAGAAAAUGACUGUACCCGAAUAAGAAGGUCCGGCUAACUUCGUGCCAGCAGCCGCGGUAAUACGAAGGGACCUAGCGUAGUUCGGAAUUACUGGGCUUAAAGAGUUCGUAGGUGGUUGAAAAAGUUGGUGGUGAAAUCCCAGAGCUUAACUCUGGAACUGCCAUCAAAACUUUUCAGCUAGAGUUUGAUAGAGGAAAGCAGAAUUUCUAGUGUAGAGGUGAAAUUCGUAGAUAUUAGAAAGAAUAUCAAUUGCGAAGGCAGCUUUCUGGAUCAUUACUGACACUGAGGAACGAAAGCAUGGGUAGCGAAGAGGAUUAGAUACCCUCGUAGUCCAUGCCGUAAACGAUGUGUGUUAGACGUUGGAAAUUUAUUUUCAGUGUCGCAGCGAAAGCGAUAAACACACCGCCUGGGGAGUACGACCGCGAGGUUAAAACUCAAAUGAAUUGACGGGGACCCGCACAAGUAGUGGAGCAUGUGGUUUAAUUCGAAGAUACGCGCAGAACCUUACCAACACUUGACAUGUUCGUCGCGACUCUAAGAGAUUAGAGUUUUCGGUUCGGCCGGACGAAACACAGGUGCUGCAUGGCUGUCGUCAGCUCGUGUCGUGAGAUGUUGGGUUAAGUCCCGCAACGAGCGCAACCCUCACUUUUAGUUGCCAUCAUUAAGUUGGGCACUCUGAAAGAACUGCCAGUGAUAAGCUGGAGGAAGGUGGGGAUGACGUCAAGUCCUCAUGGCCUUUACGUGUUGGGCUACACACGUGCUACAAUGGUAUCUACAACAGGAAGCAAAACAGCGAUGUUAAGCAAAUCCUUAAAAGAUACCUCAGUUCGGAUUGCACUCUGCAACUCGAGUGCAUGAAGCUGGAAUUACUAGUAAUCGUGGAUCAGCGUGCCACGGUGAAUGCGUUCCCGGGUCUUGUACACACCGCCCGUCACACCAUGGGAGUUGGUUCUACCUUAAGGCAAGGCUUAAAACCCUUGACCACGGUAUAGUCAGCGACUGGGGUGAAGUCGUAACAAGGUAACC
rnacentral:rRNA from 1 species